rnacentral:lncRNA from 1 species
GUUAUUUUCCAAUUUCUGUUCACAUAUGUCUCUAGGUUUUGGAAAAAGCUAUAAAACCUUUUUUAAGUGACUCAUAAGAACACAAACUGGAAAUAGCUAUAAAAUCAUUUUAAAGAGACAUGUGAGAACACAUCCUGGAAAUAGUUAUAAAAAGUUAAGACUGAGACACAUGAGAACACAUACUCGAAAUAGUUAUAAACACGAUAAAGAGACACAUGAGAACACAUACUGGAAAUGAGUAUAAAAUCUUUUUAAAGGAACACAUGAGAACACAAACUCGAAAUAGUUGUAAAAACUUAUAAAAUGAGAAAGAGACACACGAGAACACGAGAAAUAGCUAUAAAAUCAUUUUAAAGAAACUUAUUACAUUGGUUGCAAUGAAUUACAUUGAUUUCCCAGUUAGAUAAAAACCGA